GCGCUCCGGAGACUACGCGUUGCUUUCGCUGAAGCCUGGAGAGCGAGAGGGGUCGGUGCGCACCGACCCUCUCGCUCUCCAGGCUUCAGGGAUGGCCGCCUGAAGUCUUUGGAGCGC